rnacentral:rRNA from 1 species
CUACGGAGGGGGCUAGCGUUGUUCGGAAUUACUGGGCGUAAAGCGCACGUAGGCGGCUUUGUAAGUCAGAGGUGAAAGCCUGGAGCUCAACUCCAGAACUGCCUUUGAGACUGCAUCGCUUGAAUCCAGGAGAGGUCAGUGGAAUUCCGAGUGUAGAGGUGAAAUUCGUAGAUAUUCGGAAGAACACCAGUGGCGAAGGCGGCUGACUGGACUGGUAUUGACGCUGAGGUGCGAAAGCGUGGGGAGCAAACAGGAUUAGAUACCCUAGUAGUCC